UACGUAGGUGGCAAGCGUUGUCCGGAUUUAUUGGGUUUAAAGGGUGCGUAGGCGGUCUUUUAAGUCAGUGGUGAAAUACUUCAGCUUAACUGGAGAGGUGCCAUUGAUACUGGAGGACUUGAGUACUGAUGAGGUAGGCGGAAUGGACGGUGUAGCGGUGAAAUGCUUAGAUAUCGUCCAGAACACCGAUAGCGAAGGCAGCUUACUAAGGAGUAACUGACGCUGAGGCACGAAAGUGUGGGGAUCAAACAGG
rnacentral:rRNA from 1 species